GUUUUAUGAUGAUCACAUGCGUGUCAGCUGAUCCCAGAGUUUGCCACGUGACUGGCUGCUUGCUGAUGUUUUGUUAGUGAGCAAUGUUGGUUACUGAAGGAUUUUGGGAACAUGAUCAUGCUAUCUUUUCUGAAAAC